rnacentral:rRNA from 1 species
AGUGAACGCUGGCGGUAGGCCUAACACAUGCAAGUCGAACGGCAGCACAGUAAGAGCUUGCUCUUACGGGUGGCGAGUGGCGGACGGGUGAGGAAUACAUCGGAAUCUACUUUUUCGUGGGGGAUAACGUAGGGAAACUUACGCUAAUACCGCAUACGACCUACGGGUGAAAGCAGGGGAUCUUCGGACCUUGCGCGAUUGAAUGAGCCGAUGUCGGAUUAGCUAGUUGGCGGGGUAAAGGCCCACCAAGGCGACGAUCCGUAGCUGGUCUGAGAGGAUGAUCAGCCACACUGGAACUGAGACACGGUCCAGACUCCUACGGGAGGCAGCAGUGGGGAAUAUUGGACAAUGGGCGCAAGCCUGAUCCAGCCAUACCGCGUGGGUAAAGAAGGCCUUCGGGUUGUAAAGCCCUUUUGUUGGGAAAGAAAAGCAGCAGGUUAAUACCCCGCUGUUCUGACGGUACCCAAAGAAUAAGCACCGGCUAACUUCGUGC